AGUGAACGCUGGCGGUAGGCCUAACACAUGCAAGUCGAACGGCAGCACAGUAAGAGCUUGCUCUUACGGGUGGCGAGUGGCAGACGGGUGAGGAAUACAUCGGAAUCUACUUUUUCGUGGGGGAUAAGGUUGGGAAACUGAGGCUAAUACCGAAUAGGACCAAGGGUUAAAAUCAGGGGGUUUAAGAACUUUUGUUGUUGUAAAGGGCGGGGUCGGGAUUAGUUAGUUGGUGGGGUAAGGGCUCGCCAAGGCAACGGUCCGUGGCUGGCCUGAGAGGAUGAUCGGCCACACUGGAACUGAGACACGGUCCAGACUCAUACGGAAGGCAGCAGUGGGGAAUGUUGGACGAUGGGCGCAAGCCUGAUCCAGCCAUACCGCGUGGGUGAAGAAGGCCUUCGGGUUGUAAAGCCCUUUUGUUGGGAAAGAAAAGCGGCAGGUUAAUACCCCGCUGUUCUGACGGUACCCAAAGAAUAAGCACCGGCUAACUUCGUG
rnacentral:rRNA from 1 species